GCAUCGAUAGCUCAGUGGCAGAGCGGUGGGACGGUGACCUAUGCAGCCUGGUUUCGGGCCCAGGUCGAUACU